GCCAGACUCCUACGGGAGGCAGCAGUGGGGGAUAUUGCACAAUGGGGGAAACCCUGAUGCAGCGACGCCGCGUGAGUGAAGAAGUAUUUCGGUAUGUAAAGCUCUAUCAGCAGGGAAGAAAAAAGACGGUACCUGACUAAGAAGCCCCGGCUAACUACGUGCCAGCAGCCGCGGUAAUACGUAGGGGGCAAGCGUUAUCCGGAUUUACUGGGUGUAAAGGGAGCGUAGACGGCAAUACAAGUCGGAAGUGAAAUACCCGGGCUCAACCUGGGAACUGCUUUGGAAACUGUAUGGCUGGAGUGCUGGAGAGGUAAGCGGAAUUCCUAGUGUAGCGGUGAAAUGCGUAGAUAUUAGGAGGAACGCCAGUGGCGAAGGCGGCUUACUGGACUGUAACUGACGUUGAGGCUCGAAAGCGUGGGGAGCAAACAGGAUUAGAUACCCGAGUA
rnacentral:rRNA from 1 species